ACCGUUACAUAAUCAGUUUGAAUAAUCUCCGUGCGCAAAACUUUAGUGUGUUUGCUGCGCUAUUGUCUUUGCGUACUUGGAGUACUCAGAUCGCUCUGUCGCGCAGCACACGGGUGUUUGUCAGCGAGAGGAUUUUCUCCAGAGCUCACAUCUGAAUCUCUCCAUCAAAGAACGUCGACUUUAGAAGAGUUUUUGUGGUGUUUGAUCGUGUUUUGGUGGCGUGAUGAGAAGCAGCGGUGACAAGCAGCAGGAAGACGCGGAGAGAUGUGUGCCAGCGAGCCAUAUAGCAUUAGCACGACAAGCCUCCUCCAAUAAACCCAGACCCCAGGUUGUGAUUGGUCUUCGCUGGACUGCAUAACUGGUGAACAAGGCUGAAGCCACAGCUCCAAGGAAACCAGUUGGAUGAGGAUGGGUCAUUCUACCAGUCUCCACAGCAACCUCAACCAAUGAGGAUAGCUGAUCAGGAUGAGGAUAU